rnacentral:rRNA from 1 species
UACGGAGGGGGCGAGCGUUAUUCGGAAUUAUUGGGCGUAAAGGGCGCGUAGGCGGCUGUACAAGCCAAAGGUGAAAUCCCUCGGCUCAACUGAGGAACUGCCUUUGAAACUGUACGGCUUGAGUCCGGGAGGGGGUAGCGGAAUUCCCAGUGUAGCGGUGAAAUGCGUAGAUACUGGGAGGAACACCAGUGGCGAAGGCGGCUACCUGGACCGGUACUGACGCUGAGGCGCGAAAGCGUGGGUAGCAAACAGG